rnacentral:lncRNA from 1 species
CCCUGGUGAUCGAAUCCGUCAUAUAGAAAUUCUCAACAGCACUCCCAAAGGCACUCAGACUCAUCUUCUCGCUCAACUCAGGUUUCAAUGAAGUAGAGAAUGUAGCCGCUUCCCUCUCAUCCAUGUUAUAAAGGUUUGGUGCCAGAGUCUUAAUCCGGGAACGGAUGGCCCCAAGGGUGUCGUAAGGCAACUGGACCCCUGCCACCUCAGACAGAGCCCGAAUUAUUUUCCAGUCAUCCCUAGAAUCACCAACAGUGGGGACUGCAGGCAAGGUUUGUUGGGUGCAGCCUUCUGUAUUUUCGUAUGUCCCUUCCUUCUCGCUAAAUGCUGCUGCUGGCAAAAUGACAUUGGCACGAUACACGCUCUGGUCACCAUGAUGGCCCUGAUAAACUACAAAGGC